GCCUGUAGCUCUGAGGAUUAGAGCACGUGGCUACGAACCACGGUGUCGGGGGUUCGAAUCCACUUCUGAGCG